rnacentral:lncRNA from 1 species
CUUAAUGCAGGAUGAAAAAGCAAAUUGUUGGCAGGAGAGCAGAGAUGCUGCUCCGUUGCUAUGGUUACAAGCGAGCAUCUCUGGGUAUCGCCCUGUGGUACCCGAGCUGCUCCCGGCUGCCUGCGCCGGUGAAGGGGCAGUUUGGCAUCCCUUACCAGCCCACUGGGGAUCACUGCGGGAUGGCCGACAUCCCUGCCUGCUCCUACCCUGACGAUGAGGAUUACCAGAGCAGAAAUAAAGCAAGGACCGAACAUCCUGGGAUAAUUCCCUGCGGUGCCAGCCUCAGCUCAGCUCCCUGGGGAUUUCUGCCGCCAGCAGCCUCCAAGGGAGGAAUUACCGAGGCAGCGCAAACCGUCCCCUGGGGAGCUGCCGGCUCCUGAGUCAUUAAAUGCUUCCACAACCAAAGCAAUGGGUUUGUUGGCUGCAGAACGAGCCAAUGCUGUGUGAGAGCAGGAGAUGGAGCAAGGUGCUCGUCCCCGGCAGGGCCCUGCAGGGCCUCCCCAUGCCCUCCCUGGGGCAUUUUGCACCCAAGCCGCAGCCCGCGUUGUGUGGAGGUUUCCCAUUACCUUCCCCAACCACUCUUGCUCUGCUCCUCAGCGAGAGAAAAGAUUCCAGAAAAGCAUCUGGUGCAGAUUUAAAGGCAUUAAGAGACAGAGAUUGGUGGCUUGUUCUAAUAGCUAAUCAUUAUUAAAAGAUCGCUCCUUGUUUCUAAGACAGAUUUGUCUGGCUUCAGCUUCCAGGAAGAGCCUGUUAUUAUGCCUUUCCCCGGUAGAUUAAGUUACCUCCUUGGACUCGUGUUUUCUCCCCAAGACAAAUGCUGUAAUCAAGUCACCUCUCAGUCUCCCCCUGAUAAAUUAAACGUGCGGCGCUCCCAUCUCACGCCCAGCGCCAGCCCUACCUGUGCUGAUUGCAGUGAGCGGCUGGCAGUGAUUUUUCUACAUUAUGAGCAAACAUCUCUCUGUGAGGGAAGGGAUGGGGCUGCCCAUCCCAGCAGUGGCUGGGAGUCGGUGGCCACUGGUUGUCCAUCCUGCAUUGUGUGACCAGUUGGAAAAAUCAGGA